rnacentral:tRNA from 1 species
AGAAACAUAGUUUAACGGUAAAACGGCGGUCUCCAAAACCGUUGAUGUAGGUUCGAUUCCUUCUGUUUCUG